ensembl:rRNA 5S_rRNA 5S ribosomal RNA
AGGUACAGCCAUAUCACCCUGCAGUCCAGGACUGGUUACUUGCUGAAGCUAAGCAGGGCUGAGCCUGGUCAAUACCUGGAUGGGAGACCACAUAGAAAAACUAGGUUGCUGUUUGAA